rnacentral:rRNA from 1 species
UGGGGGAUAUUGCACAAUGGGCGAAAGCCUGAUGCAGCGACGCCGCGUGGGGGAUGAAGGCUUUCGGGUUGUAAACCUCUUUCGCUAUCGAACAAGGCCCGCUUAGGGUGGGUUGAGGGUAGGUGGAGAAGAAGCGCCGGCUAACUACGUGCCAGCAGCCGCGGUAAUACGUAGGGCGCGAGCGUUGUCCGGAAUUAUUGGGCGUAAAGGGCUUGUAGGCGGCUUGUUGCGCCUGCUGUGAAAACGCGGGGCUUAACUUCGCGCGUGCAGUGGGUACGGGCAGGCUUGAGUGUGGUAGGGGUGACUGGAAUUCCAGGGGUAGCGGUGGAAUGCGAAGAUAUCUGGAGGAACACCGAUGGCGAAGGCAGGUCACUGGGCCAUUACUGACGCUGAGGAGCGAAAGCAUGGGUAGCGAACAGG